ACAGGCAACGCUUGAGGUCUGCGGACCAAUACAGCAGCAUCAGAUUGGGUAUAUUUGGACUUAUCGUCUGGUUGACGCAUAUAACUAUAGUAGCGGUUGUUGCUUGUAUACCUUUAGUUCUUUCGUUACAUUGUCUUGCUACUAUAGUCUUGUUACAUGUAUACAUUCAGUUGUUCAUUACAGUAGCGGUAGUUGUACUUCUUUCAUAUAUAUGUCUCUUUCAUUCAUUAUUAUUGCUACUGUAUUUCUACUGACCCGUACUGUUGUUUAGCUCUUCCUGAUCCGGUGAGUACUCCUCGCCUUCAUCGGCUUGCGGUACCCACUGGAAGGUGAAACUUGUUUACAUGUUCUCACCUUCCCCACCAUUUUUCAGGUAUCGCGGGUGGUGAGAGUUGAGACGAGAUGUGAGACACGUUCGUAGCGGUCGAUAGAGCUUCCGACCCAGGUUAUUCGGUUUAGUUUCUACCCUUACUAUUAUGUUGAUAUAGCUCAGAUAGUUUAUAUGAUUCAGUAUUUUUAUUACAUUUGAAAAUAUGAAUUUUCAUGAAUGUAAUAAAGGGAUUUGUAGAAUUUGUGAAAUGAAAAAUGGUUUUCUACCCCUCGUGGUAGCGCGUUUUAAAAGAAAAGAGUUUUCGUGUGGGAAACAGCUUUCAAAAGAUUUUUCGUAGUUUUCAUAACUUAGUAUUUCAAAACCCGUUUCUGAGUUGGAAACGUUUUAACUAAUAGUUGUGAUUUUAUGUUCAAAUCAUGAAUGUGAACCUGUGCUGAAUGGUGUAUGGAUAUAUAUAGAUGUUGAAUGUCUGUAUGUUCAGUGUAGUGGUUGUAUCCU
rnacentral:lncRNA from 1 species